rnacentral:rRNA from 1 species
AUUGAACGCUGGCGGCAUGCUUUACACAUGCAAGUCGAACGGUAACAGGCCGCAAGGUGCUGACGAGUGGCGCACGGGUGAGUAAUGCAUCGGAACGUGCCCAGUCGUGGGGGAUAACUACUCGAAAGAGUAGCUAAUACCGCAUACGAUCUAUGGAUGAAAGCGGGGGACCGUAAGGCCUCGCGCGAUUGGAGCGGCCGAUGUCAGAUUAGUUAGUUGGUGGGGUAAAGGCUCACCAAGCCAACGAUCUGUAGCUGGUCUGAGAGGACAACCAGCCACACUGGGACUGAGACACGGCCCAGAAUCCUACGGGAGGCAGCAGUGGGGAAUUUUGGACAAUGGGCGCAAGCCUGAUCCAGCAAUGCCGCGUGCAGGAAGAAGGCCUUCGGGUUGUAAACUGCUUUUGUACGGAACGAAACGGCUCUGGUUAAUACCCGGGGCUAAUGACGGUACCGUAAGAAUAAGCACCGGCUAACUACGUG